rnacentral:rRNA from 1 species
GACGAACGCUGGCGGCGUGCUUAACACAUGCAAGUCGAACGGAAAGGCCCUGCUUUUGUGGGGUGCUCGAGUGGCGAACGGGUGAGUAACACGUGAGCAACCUGCCCUUGACUUUGGGAUAACUUCAGGAAACUGGGGCUAAUACCGGAUAGGAGCUCCUGCUGCAUGGUGGGGGUUGGAAAGUUUCGGCGGUUGGGGAUGGACUCGCGGCUUAUCAGCUUGUUGGUGGGGUAGUGGCUUACCAAGGCGUUGACGGGUAGCCGGCCUGAGAGGGUGACCGGCCACAUUGGGACUGAGAUACGGCCCAGACUCCUACGGGAGGCAGCAGUGGGGAGUAUUGCACAAUGGGCGGAAGCCUGGUGCAGCAACGCCGCGUGCGGGAUGACGGCCUUCGGGUUGUAAACCACUUUCGCCUGGGACGAAGCGUGAGUGACGGUAAUGGGUAAAGAAGCACCGGCUAACUACGUG